rnacentral:rRNA from 1 species
AUUGAACGCUGGCGGCAGGCUUAACACAUGCAAGUCGCACGAGUGGCGGACGGGUGAGUAAUGCUUGGGAAUCUAGCUUAUGGAGGGGGAUAACUACGGGAAACUGUAGCUACUACCGCGUACCAUAGGAUGAGCCCAAGUGGGAUUAGUUAGUUUGUGAGGUAAAGGCUCACCAAGCCGACGAUCUCUAGCUGGUCUGAGAGGAUGACCAGCCACACUGGGACGGAGACACGGCCCAGAAGCCUACGGGAGGCAGCAGUGGGGAAUAUUGCGCAAUGGGGGCAACCUGACGCAGCCAUGCCGCGUGAAUGAAGAAGGCCGUCGGGUUGUAAAGUUCUUUCGGUAGCGAGGCGUUAACUACAGAAGAAGCACCGGCUAACUCCGUGCCAGCAGCCGCGGUAAUUC